rnacentral:rRNA from 1 species
UUCCUACGGGGGGCAGCAGUGGGGAAUAUUGCACAAUGGGGGGAACCCUGAUGCAGCAAUGCCGCGUGAAGGAUGAAGGUUUUCGGAUUGUAAACUUCUUUUAUACGGGACGAAGAAAGUGACGGUACCGUAAGAAUAAGCCACGGCUAACUACGUGCCAGCAGCCGCGGUAAUACGUAGGGGGCGAGCGUUGUCCGGAAUUACUGGGCGUAAAGAGAGCGUAGGCGGCACUACAAGUCUCAUGUGAAAUACCCGGCCUUAACUUGGGGGU